GUUGAGCUUCGUAAUGAGGGCUUGUAAUCCAAAUAGGGGCAUUAUAUGGUGAAUGUUGGGUUGCUCCAAAUGGUAAGGCUUGGUGGGCUAAUCUCCAACUUGCCCUGUCCAAGCAUAGAGGUGGGUCACGUGGCCCAAGUGUAAACAUGGGUUGUUGGACUCCUUAAGUGGGGCCGACCGCGUGAGGCUGGUUUCACAGAGCAACGAAGGAGGGCGGAUCGCGUGAGGCUAGUUUCAUAGAUCAACGAAUAGCUCCCGCUCUGUGCAGUGGAAGGAUAACAGGUCUUUGUCCUUCAAGUCCAACAAAUUCUUGAUGGGAUGCUCCAAUUAAACCACCACUUUU
rnacentral:SRP_RNA from 1 species